GACGAACGCUGGCGGCGUGCUUAACACAUGCAAGUCGAACGGGAUCCAAAGGCUUUUUGUUUUUGGUGAGAGUGGCGAACGGGUGAGUAACACGUGAGUAACCUGCCCCCUUCUUUUGGAUAACCGCAUGAAAGUGUGGCUAAUACAGGAUAUUCCAGGCUGGUCGCAUGAUUGGUUUGGGAAAUGGUUUGGUCUGGUGGGGGAUGGGCUCGCGGCCUAUCAGUUUGUUGGGGGGGUGAUGGCCUACCAAGGCGGUGACGGGUGGCAGGCCGGAGAGGGUGGGCGGUGACACUGGGACCGGGAUACGGCCCAGACGGCGACGGGAGGGAGCAGUGGGGGAUUAUGCACAAUAGGCGCAAGCCUGAUGCCGCGACGCCGCGUGAGGGAUGAAGGCUUGCGGGUUGUAAACCUCUUGCGCUGGGUUGAAAGGCCAUGCUUUGGGUGUGGUUGAUUUGAACUGGUAAAGAAGUACCGGCUAACUACGUG
rnacentral:rRNA from 1 species